GACGAAACGCCUGGCGGCGCGCCUAACACAUGCAAGUUCGAACGGAGCUGAGAGGAGCUUUGCUUUUUCUUAGCUUAGUUGGCGAACGGGUGAGUAACGCGUGAGUAACCUGCCCUGGAGUGGGGACAACAGUUUGGAAACGACUGCUAAUACCGCAUAAGCCCACGGUGCUGCAUGGCACUGCGGGAAAAGGAUUUAUUCGCUUCAGGAUGGACUCGCGUCCAAUUAGCUAGUUGGUGAGGUAACGGCCCACCAAGGCGACGAUUGGUAGCCGGACUGAGAGGUUGAACGGCCACAUUGGGACUGAGACACGGCCCAGACUCCUACGGGAGGCAGCAGUGGGGGAUAUUGCACAAUGGGGGAAACCCUGAUGCAGCGACGCCGCGUGGAGGAAGAAGGUUUUCGGAUUGUAAACUCCUGUCGUUAGGGACGAUAAUGACGGUACCUAACAAGAAAGCACCGGCUAACUACGUGCCAGCAGCCGCGGUAAAACGUAGGGUGCAAGCGUUGUCCGGAAUUACUGGGUGUAAAGGGAGCGCAGGCGGACCGGCAAGUUGGAAGUGAAAUCCAUGGGCUCAACCCGUGAAUUGCUUUCAAAACUGCUGGCCUUGAGUAGUGCAGAGGUAGGUGGAAUUCCCGGUGUAGCGGUGGAAUGCGUAGAUAUCGGGAGGAACACCAGUGGCGAAGGCGACUACUGGGCACCAACUGACGCUGAGGCUCGAAAGCAUGGGUAGCAAACAGGAUUAGAUACCCUGGUAGUCCAUGCCGUAAACGAUGAUUACUAGGUGUCGGAGGAUUGACCCCUUCAGUGCCGCAGUUAACACAAUAAGUAAUCCACCUGGGGAGUACGACCGCAAGGUUGAAACUCAAAGGAAUUGACGGGGGCCCGCACAAGCAGUGGAGUAUGUGGUUUAAUUCGAAGCAACGCGAAGAACCUUACCAGGUCUUGACAUCCGAUGCAUAGUGCAGAGAUGCAUGAAGUCCUUCGGGACAUCGAGACAGGUGGUGCAUGGUUGUCGUCAGCUCGUGUCGUGAGAUGUUGGGUUAAGUCCCGCAACGAGCGCAACCCUUAUUGCCAGUUACUACGCAAGAGGACUCUGGCGAGACUGCCGUUGACAAAACGGAGGAAGGUGGGGAUGACGUCAAAUCAUCAUGCCCUUUAUGACCUGGGCUACACACGUACUACAAUGGCGUUUAACAAAGAGAAGCAAGACCGCGAGGUGGAGCAAAACUCAGAAACAACGUCUCAGUUCAGAUUGCAGGCUGCAAACUCGCCUGCAUGAAGUCGGAAUUGCUAGUAAUCGCGGAAUCAGCAUGCCGCGGUGAAUACGUUCCCGGGCCU
rnacentral:rRNA from 1 species